AGGACGAACGCUGGCGGCGUGCUUAACACAUGCAAGUCGAGCGGUAAGGCCCUUUCGGGGGUACACGAGCGGCGAACGGGUGAGUAACACGUGAGCAAUCUGCCCUUCACUUCGGGAUAAGCCUCGGAAACGGGGUCUAAUACCGGAUAUGACCGCGCCAUGCAUGUGGUGUGGUGGAAAGUUCUGGCGGUGGAGGAUGAGCUCGCGGCCUAUCAGCUUGGUUGGUGGGGUAAUGGCCUACCAAGGUCUUCGACGGGUAGCCGGCCUGAGAGGGU
rnacentral:rRNA from 1 species